rnacentral:rRNA from 1 species
GAUGAACGCUGGCGGCGUGCCUAAUACAUGCAAGUCGAGCGAACGGACGCGAAGCUUGCUUCUCUGAUGUUAGCGGCGGACGGGUGAGUAACACGUGGAUCACCUACCUAUAAGACUGGGAUAACUUCGGGAAACCGGAGCUAAUACCGUAUAAUAUUUUGCACCGCAUGGUUCAAAAGUGAAAGACGGUCUUGCUGUCACUUAUAGAUGGAUCCGCGCUGCAUUAGCUAGUUGGUAGGUAACGGCUUACCAAGGCAACGAUGCAUAGCCGACCUGAGAGGGUGAUAGGCCACAAUGGAACUGAGACACGGUCCAGACUCCUAAGGGAGGCAGCAGUAGGGAAUCUUCCGCAAUGGGCGAAAGCCUGACGGAGCAAAGCCGCGUGAGUGAUGAAGGUCUUCGGAUCGUAAAACUCUGUUAUUAGGGAAGAACAUAUGUGUAAGUAAAUGUGCACAUCUUGACGGUACCUAAUCAGAAAGCCACGGCUAACUACGUG